rnacentral:rRNA from 1 species
CAGGCCUAACACAUGCAAGUCGAACGCAUCCUUCGGGAUGAGUGGCAGACGGGUGAGUAACACGUGGGAACGUACCCUUUGGUUCGGAACAACUCUGGGAAACUGGAGCUAAUACCGGAUACGCCCUUUUGGGGAAAGGCUUGCUGCCGAAGGAUCGGCCCGCGUCUGAUUAGCUAGUUGGUGGGGUAACGGCCUACCAAGGCGACGAUCAGUAGCUGGUCUGAGAGGAUGAUCAGCCACAUUGGGACUGAGACACGGCCCAAACUCCUACGGGAGGCAGCAGUGGGGAAUAUUGGACAAUGGGCGCAAGCCUGAUCCAGCCAUGCCGCGUGAGUGAUGAAGGCCUUAGGGUUGUAAAGCUCUUUUGUCCGGGACGAUAAUGACGGUACCGGAAGAAUAAGCCCCGGCUAACUUCGUGCCAGCAGCCGCGGUAAUAC